rnacentral:tRNA from 1 species
AUUUAAUGAGGUGUUAUUUGCAUUUUGUAUCUUGGUUACAAAGGGGAUUAGAAAUCCGUUAAAU